rnacentral:rRNA from 1 species
CGGCAUGCCUUACACAUGCAAGUCGAACGGCAGCACGGGAGCAAUCCGUGGUGGCGAGUGGCGAACGGGUGAGUAAUAUAUCGGAACGUGCCCAAGUCGUAGGGGGAUAACGCAUCGAAAGAUGUGCUAAUACCGCAUAAUCUCUGAGGAGGAAAGGCGGGGAUCACGCAAGUGACCUGUCGCUGAAAGAGCGGCCGAUGGUCGAUUAGCUAGUUGGCGGGGUAAAAGCCCACCAAGGCGAUGAUCGAUAGCGGGUCUGAGAGGACGAUCCGUCACACUGGGACUGAGACACGGCCCAGACUCCUACGGGAGGCAGCAGUGGGGAAUAUUGGGCAAUGGACGAAAGUCUGACCCAGCCAUGCCGCGUGAAGGAUGAAGGUCCUCUGGAUUGUAAACUUCUUUUUUCUGGGGAGAAAUGCAUCUUUUCUAAGGUGUUUGACGGUACCAGAAGAAUAAGCACCGGCUAACUCCGUG